rnacentral:rRNA from 1 species
UACGUAGGGUGCAAGCGUUGUCCGGAAUUAUUGGGCGUAAAGAGCUCGUAGGCGGUUUGUCGCGUCUGCUGUGAAAAUCCAGGGCUUAACCCUGGACCUGCAGUGGGUACGGGCAGACUAGAGUGCGGUAGGGGAGAUCGGAAUCCUGGUGUAGCGGUGAAAUGCGCAGAUAUCAGGAGGAACACCGGUGGCGAAGGCGGAUCUCUGGGCCGGUAACUGACGCUGGAGGAGCGAAAGCAUGGGGAGCGAACAGGA